rnacentral:lncRNA from 1 species
UACAUCGAGGAGUUAACAAAGGAGAGGGACGCCCUGAGUCUGGAACUGUACAGGAACACGUAGGAUGGGGGACGGUGGGAUGGGAGGUCUGGGGGCUCUUAGUGUGGGGGGUGUGCUGGGAGGUGGGGGUACAGGUGACCAUGGUGAGAGGCUCAUACAGGUUUUCAUGUGUGCACAGGGAAGCUCUAGUGCCGGCUGUGCCACUGACCCAUGGGGUAGCCUCAGGCAACUCAUGUCUUCUCUCUGGCCUGCCACCUGGGACUUUUAAUUCCUGGGGUCCCAUCCAAUGCCACGGUUCUGUGGUUGUGGGGUGAAAGCAGAGGGUUGAUCACCACAGCGGUCCUUUCUGUUCUUCGUUCAUUCCUUUAUCUACUGCCUCUGGUCAUAGCAUAACCCAUGAGGAGCUGAAGGAGAAAAAUGCCGAACUACAAGAAAAACUUCGACUUCUAGAAUCUGAAAACUCUGAGAUCCAGCUCAAUGUAAAGGAGCUAGAAAGGAAGCUGGAGAGGGCCAAGCUCCUGCUGCCACAGCAGCUGCAGGAGGAGGCUGACCACCUGGGUAAGGAGCUGCAGAGUGUGUCCGCGAAGCUCCAAGCCCAGGUGGAAGAGAACCAGUUGUGGAACCGCCUGUACCAGCAACUUGAGGAGAAGAUGUGGAGGCAGGAGGAGAAGAUACGGGAGCAGGAGGAGAAGAUACGGGAGCAGGAGGAGAAGAUGCGGAGGCAGGAGGAGAAGAUAUGGGAGCAGGAGGAGAAGAUGCGGAGGCAGGAGGAGAUGAUGCGGGAGAAGAGGGAGAUGAUGCGGGAGCAGGAGGAGAUGAUGCGGGAGAAGAGGGAGAUGAUGCGGGAGCAGGAGGAGAUGAUGUGGGAGAAGGAGGAGAUGAUGCGGGAGCAGGAGGAGAAGAUGCGGGAGGAGGAGGAGAAGAUGUGGAGGCAGGAGGAGAAGAUGUGCGAGCAGGAGGAGAAGAUGUGGAGGCAGGAGGAGAUGCACGAGGAGAAGGAGAAGAUGAGGAGGCAGGAGGAGAUGAUGUGGGAGAAGGAGGAAAAGUUACGGGAGCAGGAGGAGAAGAUUCGAGAGAAAGAGGGGAAGAUGCGGGAGCAGGAGGUGAGGCUGUGGCAGCAGGAGGAGAAGAUGCAGGAGCAGGAGGAGAUGCACUGGACAGGGAGGAGGUGGAGGAGGAGGAGGCACCUCAGCCCAUGCCAAGCAUCCCAGAGGAGCUGGAGAGCCGGGAGGCCAUGGUGGAGCUGGUGUUUCCGCUUGUGAGCGACCGUAACCAGGGACGUGGUGGAUUGCGGGCAGCUGCCCAGAACCCUGCGGAAGAGUCUGCACCAGGGACCCCGGUCCCUCAGGAGCUCGGGGCUGCCAACAAGCAGGGUGAUCUCUACAGCAAGCCCUGCCUGCCAUUCUUCUACCGCGCACAUGACAAGAAGGCAAAAAUAAUAAACAUCUAAAAGCCGGCAGCGAGGCCUGGAGAAGAGUCAGCUGUCAUGUGACUGUUUAGAAUAUAGUCAGAACACAAACCUGGAAAAAAAAAAAAAAGAAAAGAAAAUUUAUUUAUUUUAAAUAGUGGCAAAAUACUGGCCAGGCACGGUGGCUCACACCUGUAAUCCCAGCAAUUUGGGAGGCUGAGAUGAAUGGACCACCUGAGGUCAGGAGUUCAAGACCAGCCUGGCCAAUACAAAAAUUAGCCGGGCAUGGUGGUGCAUGCCUGUAAUUCCAGCUACUUGGGAGGCUGAGGCAGGAGAAUCGCUUGAACCCGGGAGGCAGAGGUUGCAGUGAGCCGAGAUCGUGCCACUGCACUCAAGCCUGGGUGACAGAGCGAGACUCCUUCUCCAAAAAAAAAAAAAAAAAAAAAAGUUUCUUGCUUAUCUUCCUUACAUGUGUGUUUCUAUUGUUUUUGGGUUUUUUUUGUUUUUUUUUCUUGUUCUUUCUCAUUUAGUCUUGUCUUGUCUUAUGGCGUUCCUAGUAAACUUUUAUCUGCCUCCAGAGAGUAUUGACUUUGACUUUAUGGCACACAAUUGGAGUAAGCGCAGAUCACCUUCGUGUAGUUUGGGACUAAGCUGGUUCAAAGCAGGCUUUAGUUUUUGUGACAGCUGGUCUAUUUUUUAU